AUGGGUAUAGCUCAGUGGGAGAGCCCAUGCUUAGCAUGCACAAAGUCCUGGGUUCAAUUCCCAGUGCCCCCA
rnacentral:tRNA from 1 species